CAAUAGCGUAUAUUAAAGUUGUUGCGGUUAAAAAGCUCGUAGUUGGAUUUCUGCCGAGGACGACCGGUCCGCCCUCUGGGUGAGUAUCUGGUUCGGCCUGGGCAUCUUCUUGGAGAACGUAUCUGCACUUGACUGUGUGGUGCGGUAUCCAGGACUUUUACUUUGAGGAAAAUUAGAGUGUUUCAAGCAGGCACACGCCUUGAAUACAUUAUCAUGGAAUAAUAAUAUAGGACCUUGGUUCUAUUUUGUUGGUUUCUAGAACUAAGGUAAUGAUUAAUAGGAUAAUUGGGGCGAUUGUAUAGUAACGUCAGAGGUGAAAUUACUUGGAUUGUUACUCGACAAACUACUGCGAAAGCAUUUGCCAAGGAUG
rnacentral:rRNA from 1 species